rnacentral:rRNA from 1 species
GAUGAACGCUGGCGGCGUGCCUAAUACAUGCAAGUCGAGCGAACGGACGCGACGCUUGCUUCUCUGAUGUUAGCGGCGGACGGGUGAGUCACACGUGGAUAACCUACCUAUCAGACUGGGAUCACUUCGGGAAACCGUAGCUAAUACCGGAUGAUAUUUUGACCCGCAUGGUUCUAAAGUGAAUGACGGUCUUGCUGUCACUUCUCGAUGUAUCCGCGCUGCAUUAGCUAGUUGGUACGGUAACGGCUUACCAAGGCAACGAUGCAUAGCCGACCUGAGAGGGUGAUCGGCGACACUGGAAGUGAGACAGGGACAAGAGGACUAAGGGAGGCAGCAGUAGGAAAUGUGACGCAAUGGGCGAAAGCCUGACGGAGCGACGCCGCGUGAGUGAUGAAGGUCUUCGGAGCGGAAAACUCUGUUAUGAGGGAAGAACAUAUGUGUAAGUAACUGUGCACAUAGUGACGGUACCUAAUCAGAAAGCCACGGCUAACUACGUG